GGCGUGGCAGGAGCAGGGGCCGUGCUGCCUUCCCCGCCUCGCAGCUGGUCACUGCUCUGGGGGUAAUUUAAGGCAGAACUUGGCCUUUCUUACAUAUUUCACUUAUUCCCUUGAUUUUAAUUGACCCUGUUAUGGGCACUUCAAGCAUUUCAUGAGCCUGUGGUGCCUGGUUUCCCAGGUCAGAGGGAGGAUUUGUCAUAAAAUAAAUUCUGCCACCUCUGUCUUCUCAUUUCUGCUCUCAAGUGUCAGUGAGUGCUCUUCUGAAGCAGUUUCCAAUGACUCCCAAGCCCCUGUGCUGGAGCUACCCCAGUCUUGGAGGAUCUGUGGAGCCUUUCCAAAUGAAUCAGAGCCCUGAGUGGCAUCUGGAAAGAAGACCCUGAGUGUCACACCAGGAAGAUCCUCUAGUCAGGUUCUUUUGCUAUGCUGAAAUGCUGACAUGGGCAGAAUCAUCAUCUCAUGGUUGAAAAUCUGAAUUAAAAAUACUGAUGACUAAAUGAAUGAGGAAGUUGAAGAGAAAAACUGCUGAUAUAUUGAUGUCCAAUCUGUCCUGGAAGGCAGGAAAGCACAUAGGGAAACUGAGGCACAGACCUCUAAUCCACAUCCUUCAAGGUGUGAGAUGUUUGGCUCUCUUUGAUCCUAAAGGCAGAGACAUCUGACAUUUUUGACAGUUUGUGUCUGAUUCCCCUGUUCAAGGUCACACAGGACACUAGAAGGAGAGUGGUGAAUGACACAGAAUGCAAAUUUAUUGUGGUUCAUCCCAGAAUCUGAAUCUUUCAGCUGAAAUGUGGCCCAGCAUGAGGAAGAGCAGAGGACUUGGAUGAGUUUCUCUAUGUUCCAGUGCCCUCCCUCUCCACAGAAAAUAGAAACUGUUUUUGUAGAAUUGGAGUCCAAAUGCUGUUUGUGUAUUGGAGAAGAAGGUGAAUGAAGAGCCAUGAAUUUCCAGUUACCUCCAUGGAGUGGAAAUUUGAAAUUUACUCAAUGACUUCUAUGCAGGGUGAAGGAUUUGGGAAAAGUGUGGGAAUACUGGUUGAUGAAUGGUCCUUGCUGCCCAGAUACUGGGAGAUGCCAGAAGAUGAGCUUGUGAUGAGGCUCCCUUGCCCUUGGAAAUUCCUUUUCAAAAGGUUUUCUCAGAUCCCUCUGUCCCAACAAGGCCUGGCUGUUGGUGUUGCACCAUGAGCACAGAUAACCUUCCCUGGAACAACCCCCAUUCUGUGGCAUUGAAGCUCACUGAGCCCUCAGACCAACAGAUCUCAUCAAGACUCUUUGUCCAGCAUGGAAAAGAAGGAUUUCCCCCCUCCUUCAAACCUCCCUAUCACUUGCUCAGAGGCUCAGAUGCUGGAUCAAGCCUACAGUGAUUAACAUUCAACACCUGUGCUUCAAUCAAGGUACUUUUCUGUAGUAACAUCAUUUAUGUUGAAACUUCUUCUCCUUCAGUCACUGAUCUUCAGGCUUAUGUGCCUUAGCCUGGUGUAAAUCCAGGGUAACGCUGCUCUUAUUGGAGUUAUUCCUGAUCAGCACUGGUUUAAAUGAAAUCUGCAUGUGACCCACAGGUGACAUGGUUUCAGGGCCCUGUAAAGACCAGAGCUAUAACCCACGUUCCCUGGGUUAUAUAUCCCCCCAUCCAUGCUGACCAGCACAAAGCAACGUGGAUGAGACACCAUUGCAUUUUCAUUCCUUGACGUGGCAGAAUUUACUGUGCAGUGGGGUUUUCCACAUUCCCUGUUUACAAACAGGGUUUUCGUGGGUAUGGAACCACCUCCCUUUGCGCCAGCCCCUCAUCAGGGUUUGUCCUCCAAAUCAUAAAACUUCUAGGCUUGACACACGCUGCACAGUGAGAGGCUGAACAGAGCCAGUCUGAGGGGUGGAGAACAUUCCCCAUCCAGGGAGAAAGGAACCAGGAAUGAAAACAAUCCUGCCUUUGGGAAACCCUGUCUGCUGGCUUAAUCAUCUGUGUGGGCAGCCCAUCCUCUGGAUAGGGGAUUCUCCCAUGACUCCCAUGAAAUCCCAUUCAUGAUCUCCAGCCCAACUCCAUCCUUUGUUCACACCCCAUCAGAACCAGGGCUCUCAGGCUGGACUGGGCACCCAGCUGGUGGUGUCUGCCAGCUCAGAGCCCACCCAGGAUGGGUUUUCAGAGCCCAUUUCCAGCAGCUCCUUGCCAUGCCCGUGGAAAGAUGAAGCACCAGCAGUGAUGAACAGCACAGGACUAACCCCCCUGCACUGCUGCAGAGCUAGAGCCAGCUGGACCCUGGUGCAAAACGAUCUUUUGCUGCUGCUUGAUCACAUCUUGAAGGUCACCGGUGAGGCCAGGCAAGGAGAAACCAACGUCUGCCACCUCGAUGGGCCUCGUGGGCAUGUUCACACCCCCAGCCCUGCGACCCCUCAGGAAAUCAUCCCACUAGAGGGCACUGGGAGUCGAUUUUCCAUCCCCUUAUCUUAGUUUCUGCUCUUUAUUUGAGUUUCUCCUUGCUUAGCGUUCUCCCCACCUCUCCCUCCUCUUUGCUGGCCAGCUCAGACUGUUUAAAUUGGAAAUUAUUUGUAUUACUGUCUGUAAAUAAUAGAUGAGGGAGUGAAGUGGAGUUGGUGUCCCUUCCAUAAACUCCUCCUCACUUUAAUUAGUGCGAAACAGCCUGGUGAGAAUGCGAGCUGCCUUGAUGCUGGUAAUUAAAAUUGAAACCACUGAAAAGCUGCUCUAUUUUUUAUCGGAGCUGCUGUUCGGAGCCGGGAGCCUGCGGACGGCUCUGCAGUAAAGAGUGAUAAUGAAGGUGUGAAUUCCCGGAGGGAGGAGGGGCAGCUGUAGCGAUGGCUGAACUUACACCAGAUGAAAAUGCAGGAGCAAUUAGAGGUGGCUGUGUACAAGCUGGGCAUCGGAGAUUAGUUGGCACCUUGGGAACAUGGCAAGGAGGGACAGGCAAGGGGGAGUUGUUUGGUUUUUUUUUCCAUUUUGAAAAAAAAAAAAUUAAAAAGAUGGUAACUUAAAAUAAAGACAAACGUGCAGUGUGCCUGCCUGAGCAAGGAAUGGGAGGGAUGCUGGAAGAUGGGGCUGCAGCGGAGAGCUUGUGGAGUUGGAGACAACAGGGUGUCUUGCAUUGGGAAACAGCAGCAUUGGUCACACUGGGUCUCUCAGGAGCUCCCCAGCUGCCCUUGCAGGACAGGCAUGGGCUUGCUGCCAUCCCCAGGUGUGCUGCUCCUGAAUGUGCAUCUGAAUACCUCUGCAAGUCCUCUGUGUGCCCGUGAACUGAACCAAAGCCACGUGGUGACCACUGAAGACUUCUUCUCAUCUUCUGUUAGGCUUUGGAUCAGACCCCACCUCUGAAAAAUAAGCGUUGACUUGAGUAUCCAGGAGUGAUGGAAAAUGGAAGAGCACAGAGAGCUUAGUUAUUCUUGGCCAAAGAGGACUUUGGGAAGACUUGCUCUAAGUAAUCAGAUGUGGUUAUUAAUUG